rnacentral:rRNA from 1 species
CAGAUUUACUUCGGUAAUGACGUUAGGAAAGCGAGCGGCGGAUGGGUGAGUAACACGUGGGGAACCUGCCCCAUAGUCUGGGAUACCACUUGGAAACAGGUGCUAAUACCGGAUAAGAAAGCAGAUCGCAUGAUCAGCUUUUAAAAGGCGGCGUAAGCUGUCGCUAUGGGAUGGCCCCGCGGUGCAUUAGCUAGUUGGUAAGGUAAAGGCUUACCAAGGCGAUGAUGCAUAGCCGAGUUGAGAGACUGAUCGGCCACAUUGGGACUGAGACACGGCCCAAACUCCUACGGGAGGCAGCAGUAGGGAAUCUUCCUCAAUGGACGCAAGUCUGAUGGAGCAACGCCGCGUGAGUGAAGAAGGUUUUCGGAUCGUAAAGCUCUGUUGUUGGUGAAGAAGGAUAGAGGUAGUAACUGGCCAUUAUUUGACGGUAAUCAACCAGAAAGUCACGGCUAACUACGUGCCAGCAGCCGCGGUAAUACGUAGGUGGCAAGCGUUGUCCGGAUUUAUUGGGCGUAAAGCGAGCGCAGGCGGAAGAAUAAGUCUGAUGUGAAAGCCCUCGGCUUAACCGAGGAACUGCAUCGGAAACUGUUUUUCUUGAGUGCAGAAGAGGAGAGUGGAACUCCAUGUGUAGCGGUGGAAUGCGUAGAUAUAUGGAAGAACACCAGUGGCGAAGGCGGCUCUCUGGUCUGCAACUGACGCUGAGGCUCGAAAGCAUGGGUAGUGAACA